GGGCCCCGGGGCUGCAGAGAAGACAGCUCUCACCCCGCGUGUACCAAGGUGGAGUAUGCCUACAGCGACAACAGCCUGGACCCCGGGCUUUUUGUAGAAAGCACCCGCAAGGGGAGUGUAGUGUCCAGAGCUAAUAGCAUCGGUUCCACCAGUGCCUCUUCUGUCCCCAACACAGGUAGGCGGUAACAUCCCCCCUACCUUGGGGGGCUCAGAUAUGUCAUAAUUGUAGUACCUUUCCUAGACAGGGAAGCCCCAGCCAUCCACACAGGGGUGCUGGAGCCAAAGUAUCAGACACAGGGUCUCACCAUCUUUCACCUCAUCUGGAACAUUAGGUUCUUCUGUCCAUCUGCCUUCUCUGGACACCAGCUUCUUCCCAGCUGGGGAAAGGUGGGCUAGCUGGACCCCACUGGGCCCCAAGAUGACCUCUCCCUGCCCCCAUCUCUGAGCGUAGAUGACGAGGACAGUGAUUACCACCAGGAGGCCUACAAGGAGUCUUACAAAGACCGGCGGCGG
rnacentral:sRNA from 1 species